AAAACAGAACAGGCUAUGGGAAAGAAUUAGCGAGCCGGUGAAGCCCGUGAAGCCCGGGCUCCCCUCUCGGCGUCUGCCCUUCUGCCUGGUGGAGAUGCGCCCAUUCCCUGACAGCACGAAACCGGAACGUGAUGUUCAUCAGCAAGGUCCCAGCAUGUCCAGCAGUGGUGGAAACCCUCUGUAAAUAGCCUGCUUCUCCAUGUGACUGCCAGAGGCCUUCUGUCCUGUGCACACUCACCACUUCAAUAGGGUAGCCAGAAAUCAAUCUGAUGAGAAAAGAAACAUUUCCGUAUACCCCACCCAGAAGAACGCUGCCAGAUGGUUGACCUGCCAGGUUCUCUUCCUUCUCACAUACAUAACCAGGUCCAGACGCGCUCUUUGCAUGCAGGACCUGGAAGCAUCUUGGAGAAAUCCCAAGAGAAGGGCCCAGAAGGACCCUGCUGGGAGAGGCCUCAGGGCCAGAAGCCAAGUCCUAUGAGGACACCAGUCUCUGUGAUCCAGGCAGGGGAUGAUGGCUGCGCGGAAAGGACAGCUUUGAGGAGAGGCCACUCUUUCGGCAGGGUCCGUGGUCUCGUUUUGUGCAACUCACCCCUGAUUUCUAGGUGCAACCCAGAUGCUCCUCAAAAGAAGGCCUGUCUUUGAAGCCAGACCAGGAGGGGGUAAAGUGGAAUCCGUUGUCUUUCCCAAGCCUUGGUUAGAGUUUUUUUUUUUUUUUUUUAAGAAACGUCCUUUGGAAAACAAUCUGGCAGAAGAUGUAGGACAAUGAUGAGCCCAGGGCGUGGGGCUCUUCCCAAGGACUGUAGCAGAUAUGCAGUGCGGACUCACGGCUCAGGGCUGACGAAACACAGCUGUCUUCCAGGGUCUGUGCUGCAUGGCUCUCCCACCCAGGGGCGCUCAUGGGCAGCCUGAAGUCAGAUGGUUCCUGUUGUAAGAAGCCCUCUGCUCAUCUCCACCAGGACUGCCACGAGUUCACGGAGAUGCAAGUGCAGGCAGGACACCUGGGCCUGGCCGGGCAUGCCCUGCACGUUCUCCUCUGAACCCAAGCAGCUUCCAGUCAGCUCCAGCUUAUCUUUGAGCUCUUUGAAGACAGUCUGGACAGGAGAGGACAAACCUGGGGUCCCAGGUGUCUUCUGAUUGGCUCAGCAGGGUUCUGGGAACCAUGGAGGGGAAGACUUUGGUGCAGCUUCUCCGUCAGCGUCAGGUCCCCGGGCUGAAUUCCUCUUCAAGCCCCUCCAGUUUCCUGUGUGUAUAUCAGUGCUGGGCUACUCUGUAAGGAAGGAGGCCAGGGUAUGCAAUCAUCUUACACUUUGGGAGCUCCUUGGCAAUUGUCCUGAGGCCUGGGGAUGUCCUGAUCUCUAUUAAACUAAGAUGUUCGUCUGGAGUUGGGGAGAGGUUAUGUUGGGGAUCAGACAGAACUGUCAUAGGCUGGAGCUUGGGACAUAGAUGCUUCCUGGGUCCAGUUUGAUGGCUGAGAUGCCCACGUGAAGUCCUGGGCCACCUGCUUGAUGACCCCAGUGCCAAGGAGGAAGGGGUGCCUCAAAGGUGUCCCCUUGAUCUGCCUGGACCCUCCAAAGCUGGCAGCUUCACACUCCCUUGCUCACUUCGGCAGCUUUGAUGUCUCUGUGGAUCUCUGUCAGAAUGUGAGUAAUCUAAGCCCUUCAGAAUUCCCCUCAGAAGGUGGCAAUUCAGGGCUCCCCCUAGAUUCCAUGUUUUAGCGGGUCCAGGUGGCGAUCCCUCCCAAGACAAUCCACAACGAUCCAGGCUUUGGUGGAGACAGUGGCUGCACUGGCCUAGCAUGAUGACCUUCCUCAGUCUCAUCCUCCUCUUCCGGACUGAUGACCUUGGAAGAGGGAGCAAUUGCCAUCUUCCUGGACACCUUUUCCCAGCUGGCCAAGCUUAGGGAAGAGUUCUCAGGAUCUACCUGGGAAUGCUGGUGGGCAAACUCCCUCUAGGGCGCCGAGUCCUGCCACUGCCAGCAGACCGCCUUUCCACACCCCCAGGAAGCUCUUAGAUUCCUCCCGUGAUGCCCCGGGUUGGGGGCAGUCUGGGAUGUGCAGAUGGUGAGGUCAACAGGGGUAGGGAAUUGUAGCCACACAGUUGGCCCAAUCUCUAAGAUUGCUUACAGUAUGUCCUUGCAGGAACCAUUGAUCCAGGACUGUGCACGCUUGAUUUUAUAAUCUGUUCCCGCAGGUCCUGAAUGAAUGACCUCCAGCACAACCGCACGUACCCAG
ensembl:lncRNA